UUGUACAUCCUCCUCAAGCCCAGGAACUGAUACUACUGAUCUCCUUCAUUCAGUUCUGCCGGAGUGGUGGCUAUUGCCAAAAGAGAGUGCUCAUUUGUAUUGUCUUUUUCUAGAACAGCGGGGAUGUUAUUACAAGUGUUCUGGAAGAGAGAGGAGGGAAGCCAAAAAGAAAUUGCACAGCAUCUUAAAAAUAGCUAGCAGGGUGCGAGUUGCUUGACAACUCGCGAAGUUGGCAAAGAUCCUGACGUGUCUGUUGGGCGCCGGGCUUUGCUACCACUAUUUGGCUACCGGUCCCAUUUCCUAGGAUUCUUCUCUGACAGUGCUCUGGAGGCUGGCUGAGGGGGGAGGUACCAGAGAGACAAGCAUCCCCCUGGCCAGCUCCUACCUAGGUUGGAAGGAGCCACAGUUUAAAAAAAAAAAAAAAAAAAGUUGACCUCUGGCCAGAAGAAGGCCCAGGAGAUGCUUUUCUGCUAAGGGAUGUCUGGGUCCCUGUCAACCCCCAAGUUGGAGGCAGUUAAACCAGCACCCAGAGGAGGCAGAGAGACUCAGAGGGGAUGUUUGGGAAGGAGAGGCCGUGCGAUCAGCAAGAGACCCGGUGGGAUUCGGGGACGGCCAGACGCUCUUUAACUUGUCAAGUGGAGCUGAAGUCCUAGCCUGCUCAUAACUGUUCCUGAGGAACGCUGGUGAGCUGUUUGCACAAGUCCUCCUGCUGGGAAGGCUCUCAGGAACACAACUUCCUCCUCUAGGCCAUUGACCGCCUCUUCCUAAGAGGCUGCCCCAGUGCCCUUCCAGGCUGUAACUCACUGAAGGAGCCUCUCAACAGCCUUCUGAGGUCCUCCGUUUUAUGGAUGCAAAGGUGGCUCAGUGGUAAAGAACCUGCCUGGCAAUGCAGGAGACACAGGAGACAUGGGUUCA